rnacentral:rRNA from 1 species
AGAGUUUGAUUCUGGCUCAGAACGAACGCUGGCGGCGUGGAUAAGACAUGCAAGUCGAACGGGAUCAUUGAUGUAGCAAUACAGCGGUGGUCUAGUGGCGAACGGGUGCGUAACACGUGGAUACAUUCCGGGAAGCGGGGGAUAGCCCAGGGAAACUUGGAUUAAUACCGCAUGUGAUCGAGAGAUCAAAGACGGGGACCGCAAGGCCUGUCACUUCCCGAUUGGUCCGCGGCCUAUCAGCUAGUUGGCGGGGUAAAAGCCCACCAAGGCGACGACGGGUAGCUGGUCUGAGAGGACGACCAGCCACACUGGAACUGAGACACGGUCCAGACACCUACGGGUGGCAGCAGUCGAGAAUCUUUCACAAUGGGGGCAACCCUGAUGGAGCGACGCCGCGUGGAGGAUAAGGUCUUCGGAUUGUAAACUCCUGUCAUGCGUGAACAAGGCAGCCGGGCUAAUAACCUGAGCUGAUUGAUGGUAACGCAAGAGGAAGAGACGGCUAACUCUGUGCCAGCAGCCGCGGUAAUACAGAGGUCUCAAGCGUUGUUCGGAAUCACUGGGCGUAAAGGGUGCGUAGGUGGCGUGGUAAGUCAGAUGUGAAAGCCCGGGGCUCAACCUCGGAACUGCAUCCGAUACUACCAUGCUAGAGUACUGAAGAGGUGACUAGAAUUCUAGGUGUAGCAGUGAAAUGCGUAGAUAUCUAGAGGAAUACCAAAGGCGUAGGCAGGUCACUGGGCAGUUACUGACACUGAGGCACGAAGGCCAGGGGAGCAAACGGGAUUAGAUACCCCGGUAGUCCUGGCAGUAAACGGUGCACACUUGGUGUGGGAGGAUUCGACCCCUUCCGUGCCGGAGCUAACGCGUUAAGUGUGCCGCCUGGGAAGUACGGUCGCAAGAUUAAAACUCAAAGAAAUUGACGGGGACCCGCACAAGCGGUGGAGUAUGUGGCUUAAUUCGAUGCAACGCGAAGAACCUUACCUGGUCUCGACAUGCUUUGUGUCUUCUGUGAAAGCAGAAUACGGUAGCAAUACCGGCUUAGCACAGGUGCUGCAUGGCUGUCGUCAGCUCGUGUCGUGAGAUGUUGGGUUAAGUCCCGCAACGAGCGCAACCCUUUUCCUUAUUUGCCAGCGGGUUAAGCCGGGAACUUUAAGGAUACUGCCAGUGAC